rnacentral:rRNA from 1 species
AUUGAACGCUGGCGGCAGGCCUAACACAUGCAAGUCGAGCGGAUGAUGGGAGCUUGCUCCUUGAUUCAGCGGCGGACGGGUGAGUAAUGCCUAGGAAUCUGCCUGGUAGUGGGGGACAACGUUUCGAAAGGAACGCUAAUACCGCAUACGUCCUACGGGAGAAAGCAGGGGACCUUCGGGCCUCGCGCUAUCAGAUGAGCCUAGGUUGGAUUAGCUUGUUGGUGAGGUAAUGGCUCACCAAGGCGACGAUCCGUAACUGGUCUGAGAGGAUGAUCAGUCACACUGGAACUGAGACACGGUCCAGACUCCUACGGGAGGCAGCAGUGGGGAAUAUUGGACAAUGGGCGAAAGCCUGAUCCAGCCAUGCCGCGUGUGUGAAGAAGGUCUUCGGAUUGUAAAGCACUUUAAGUUGGGAGGAAGGGUUGUAGAUUAAUACUCUGCAAUUUUGACGUUACCGACAGAAUAAGCACCGGCUAACUCUGUGCCAGCCGCCGCAGUAACAC